rnacentral:rRNA from 1 species
AGAGUUUGAUUCUGGCUCAGAGUGAACGCUGGCGGCGUGCUUAACACAUGCAAGUCGAACGAUGAAGCUCUUGCUUGCAAGAGUGGAUUAGUGGCGAACGGGUGAGUAAUGUAUAGCUAACCUGCCCCUUGGAGGGGGACAACAGUUGGAAACGACUGCUAAUACCCCAUACUCCGUACGCUCACAAGAGUAUAUGGGAAAACUCCGGUGCCAAGGGAUGGGGCUGUAUCCUAUCAGCUUGUUGGUGAGGUAACGGCUUACCAAGGCUAUGACGGGUAGCUGGUCUGAGAGGAUGAUCAGCCACACUGGAACUGAGACACGGUCCAGACUCCUACGGGAGGCAGCAGUGGGGAAUAUUGCACAAUGGGGGAAACCCUGAUGCAGCAACGCCGCGUGGAGGAUGACGCAUUUCGGUGUGUAAACUCCUUUUAUUAGGGAAGAAUAAUGACGGUACCUAAUGAAUAAGCACCGGCUAACUCCGUGCCAGCAGCCGCGGUAAUACGGAGGGUGCAAGCGUUACUCCGGAUUCACUGGGCGUAAAGGGCGCGUAGGCGGGUUGUCAAAGUUUCUGAGUGAAAUCCCACGGCUCAACCCGUUGAACUGCUUGGGAAAACUGGCAGCCUAGAAGUGAGGGAGAGGUAGAUGGAAAUGGUGGUGGUAGGGGUUAAAUUCGUAAAGAUCACCAGGAAUACCCAUUGGAAGGCGAUUACUGGAACUCAACUGACGCUGAGGCGCGAAAGCGUGGGGAGCAAACAGGAUUAGAUACCCUGGUAGUCCACGCCCUAAACGAUGAACACUAGUUGUUGCCUUGCACGUCAAGGCAGUAAUGCACCUAACGGAGUAAGUGUUCCGCCUGGGGAGUACGGUCGCAAGAUUAAAACUCAAAGGAAUAGACGGGGACCCGCACAAGCGGUGGAGCAUGUGGUUUAAUUCGAAGAUACGCGAAAAACCUUACCUGGCCUUGAUAUCCCAAGAAUCCCGCAGAGACGUGGGAGUGCUUGCUUGCAAGAACUUGGUGACAGGUGCUGCACGGCUGUCGUCAGCUCGUGUCGUGAGAUGUUGGGUUAAGUCCCGCAACGAGCGCAACCCUCGUGUUUAGUUGCUAACGGUUCGGCCGAGCACUCUAAACAGACUGCCUUCGUAAGGAGGAGGAAGGUGAGGACGACGUCAAGUCAUCAUGGCCCUUAUGGCCAGGGCUACACACGUGCUACAAUGGGUAGGACAAUGAGACGCAAUACCGUGAGGUGGAGCAAAUCUAUAAACCUACUCUCAGUUCGGAUUGUUCUCUGCAACUCGAGAACAUGAAGCUGGAAUCGCUAGUAAUCGUAGAUCAGCAUUGCUACGGUGAAUACGUUCCCGGGUCUUGUACUCACCGCCCGUCACACCAUGGGAGUUGAUUUCACCCGAAGCCGGGAAGCCAAACUGGCUACCGUCCACGGUGGAAUUAGCGACUGGGGUGAAGUCGUAACAAGGUAGCCGU